UACAGAGGGUGCGAGCGUUGUCCGGAAUCACUGGGCGUAAAGGGCGCGUAGGUGGCGCGACAAGUCAGUGGUGAAAGUUCGACGCUCAACGUCGAAUCGGCCACUGAUACUGUUGGGCUUGAGCACUGUAGAGGCUAAUGGAAUUCCUGGUGUAGCGGUGGAAUGCGCAGAUAUCAGGAGGAACACCGGUGGCGAAGGCGGGUCUCUGGGCAGUAACUGACGCUGAGGAGCGAAAGCGUGGGGAGCGAACAGG
rnacentral:rRNA from 1 species